UUUGUGUCAAACUGGAAGUAGAUAUGAAUUAAUUGUAGCAGAAGAAGGGGUGUGUUUUAUGUGUUUGCAAAGUAUACAAAUUAGUAUGGAAAACGCAUCCAGACGUGGUUAGCGGAGUCCAUAGCAUCACAGUUUAACUUGGCUCAGCUCAGAGCUGCAGCUCAAACCAGCCCGUGACAUUGACGUCGUUUCCAUCCUGUGCAUGCAUCUGCCUUUCUGCUGCAGAGGAGCCGAGCACUGUGCAGUCCCUGUCACAUUAACCAGCAUGUAGUUUUCCUCUGAUAUCUUCCAAAACAUGGACGGGGAGCAGAGCCGACACAAGCAGUGGUGUUCCCAGCAGCCCCACACAGCUCUGCCUGCGCCCGCCUUCGUGUGCCCCGGUGAUGGUCUCCAUGGGCACACCAGUGUCCCCUGCUUGUGUCUCCUGUUCCCUUCGUGGCUGUAGAUCCCAUUGCAAGUCCAAAUGUACAGAGAAGGGUAAAUGUGGCAAGCAGGCACGGAAAAGGUUCAAUUGGAGCAGAGUCCGUGGGCUUGCAGUGGGAUGCAGUUACGGAGGAAUCACGGUUUGCUUGGCCUCAGGUUGCUUUGUGCUUUGGGAAGUAAAACCUGCAUAUGCACUGAAUGUAAAAUGAGCGUUAGAAGCACAUCCAGAGGCGUUUUGUUAGAUCCUCACAGAUCGGGUCUAUUUUGAGGAAAUCUGGUCUGGGGUUGGAUUUUUCACACUCGUGCUAGGAUGCUCAAAUAGAAAUUCAGGGGAGGUUUACAAGCAGCUCCCAGCAAACCUCACGCUAAGUAAGCUAAUUCAAUUUAUCAGUACUUAUUGGAUGCUAGGAUGAGAGACCAUUUAGAACUGAAUAUGUUAAUGUAAAUCUCUCUCCAGACUAAUCACAAGCAGUUAUCCUUUUAUGAUUUAGCCAUGUGGUUUAUGACUAAUAUUUACAGAAGAUUACCAGUAGAUUUUUCAAUAAAAGCUUUUCAGCUAAAACUAAGAUUAUAACAAUUUUGGAGAUAAUUGGACAACCGUUGAAUUCAAAAGCUGAUAAAUAUAGGCAGUUUUUCAAAACAGUAUAUUGCAUGCAGACAUAAUGGCAGGUUAGACUUCCAGAUGCAUCGCUAUAUGAUGAAUGUAUAGUUUGCUAUAAAUAAUGUUGUUGUUCAUUGGUUGAAAUGUGCCCCAGCCUGUAAGCAAAUGAAAGGGAUGUUCUCCAUUUCAAACUAAAUCAGUUGUUAAAAGCAUUUUCUAAUUAACAAGUCUCUUCAAUUUAGAGCAAACAGCAAAAUCUCUGAUGGUAGAUUUUUCCCUCUCCUGUUUUUCCUCUUGGUGAAUACACCAGCAUGUUGUCUCCAGUCGCUUUGCUUCCCAUGCAGCCUGUGCGCGCUUCACCAACUGAAAUGGCACAGGGAUGUUUAUUAAGAAAAACUACGAAAAUGUGAUUGCAAAAACUUGGAGGAAAACUUACAGUUCACAUGUAAUUUCUGAACAAACCUUUUGUUUCUCCUUUCAUGCUGGCACGUAAUGCGCGGUCACCGGUGUCCCUCGGAGCCUCCGCACCCGCGACCAGAAGCGAUCAGGUUCUCUGGGUUAAAUGAGAGGCUGGGGAGCAGCAACCAGGACAACCAUGGGCUGGAUUCACCCACCACACAGGCCAGAUGUUUGCUUGUAAUGAAUCGAGAGAUGUGAUCUUUGAGCCAUAUAGAAAGGCAGAAAAGAAAGGAGAAGAUAUUUCUCACGCGGAGCCACAGAAGCUGAUCCUGGAUUGCAAUGACAGCAGAUGUUAUUAGGUCGCUAUCAGCAGUCUGAGGCGAAUGGUCUCAACGUGAGCAGCUCCGUGAAGAACACAGCAGCUUCUCCGUGUGUUUUCUCCGCAAGUCUCGAGCAAGCCGCUCACCUUGGGCUGAGUUUACUCUUUCUCCUCAUUCUGUUUAAUCUUGUGAGAGGAGCAGCUGUAUCUCUGCCCUGCAAUGGGAUUUUGCGGAGCGGAAAUGUUUGACCUUUGCAAGGUGUGAGAUUGCAGAAAUGACAUGUGUUUGAGAUCCGGCUCUAGUGGAGCUUCGCAGAGGGAUCUCAGGGGAAGCCACAUGCCACAGUGUAAAUAUGGAUUUUCCCAUGGUUAAACAAAACAUUUAGCAAAGUUUCUAAACAUCUUGUCUUAAUAUUUUAGCUGAUACAAGGGCUGAUUCUUGGGAAGCUGUUUUGUAUUCUAGUUAUUCCUCUCAGGGCUGAGCAAAUAUGGGCUGCAAACCUGGCAGGCUGGAGAGGGGGCUUUGUCAUCCUGCUCAGCGUGGGCUGCGGUGUUGACUGACUUUGCAGACUAAGGGAUAAGAUAGUUGCUACUUGCAAACGCAUCUGAUCUCUCAUUACUAAGAGGACAUGCUGCUGUUCUGAUAAGGAAAAGCAACAGCAAGUUAUAUCUCCAUUCACAGAACAUAAAUCUGUUUUUGCAAUUGGUUUGCCAGAUAUAAAUCAGUAUAGCCUCUCUACCCAUCCCUAGUUGGGGAGAUUUCAUUUGCACUGGCUACGUGUGCAGUCCAGUCGAGGUGAGGGCGUCUCUUUGCACUGCUGAAGAUUCACUACAAGGCAUCCUGCGAGACAAGUGUUUCACUGCUGGGCAAAACAUCCAAAAUAUAGGUGGUAUGUUUUGUAGAGCAUCCUUUGACUGAGAAGUAAUGAGAAAUGGCCUCAUAACUAUUAUUCAUUAUUACACAUGCAAAGCUUGUGAGCCAAGUUUAAUUAAAUUCAGUAAAGGCAUAUGCAAUAAAAAUGAACAAUUAGUAGCAGUGAAGGAUUCUGAUCUGAAAGUGUAAAGACUUCCUUCAUCCCUGUAGCACAGCGAGAAACAAAAAGACUGUGCAAUCUCAACUCCAACGUAUAUAGAUAGGGAAAGAUCUGUGUUGCCCGUAUGGCAAGUGGGUAAAUUCAGUUUACCUGCAUUUGCCCUUGAUUACACGCUGCUUUCUGUCUGCCUGCAGACCUCAGCGUGAAUGUCUGGUCACCACCAGGUACUGACAAAAUGCUGCUUGUCACAUAGAGCACGUCUACUAAAUAUAAAGAGUUGCAAUGCAAAUCGGCUGAGCACUUACAGAAGAUUUGUUCAUCUGUACCAAGAGCUGUAUCGCAGCAUGGUCCACCCCGCAGGCCAUGGGGAGAGCGGUGUUUUUCCUCCAUCUGGGACCAGGUUUUUCCGACACGCCAGCCAAGACCGGACUGCUGUUCGCUCCCUGGCCGCAGCUGGUGUUCAUAAAGCGUUACACAGGGGGUCUGUCAGGGGUGCUGCACAUCCACACGUCGCAGAAGGACAUGUUUGCUGUCUCAUCCAUCAGAAAGACUCUGACGGAGCAAAUCAGCCACGGGUCGGUGCUGCUGCUGUCAGUGUUGGGCCAGUGAAGUGUCCUGGGACUGUCGUGAGGGCAAAAUGCCGUGAGAGGGAUGGCGGUGCCAGAAGAGCACAGCUGAGUCUGAAGCGGGGGUAGCAGAGCGAGAUGUGCCUUUGCCACGCUGGAUCGUACCACACAGCAGCUUCCACAGUUUGCAAAAUGAGCCUGGCACGCAAACAAUGGGGAACACAGUGUUCUAAUGACACUUACAGCAUCUCAAAGGACCAUUCAAAGCAACAAAAAACCUGGUGAUGUCCUUAAAGACGGCAGAUGGUUUCUUCAAGUCCUUGUAGCAUCCCAGCCUCGGGAGGGCCGGACGGGCAGGCGGGCUCUGGGCGCACGCAGCACAGCGCUCGGCACACGCUGCAGCUGCAGACGCAGCGGGAGCGACGCACGUCAGGAGGGUGAGUGUGUUGUGUGUUACAUUUGGAGACUAUUUUUUCUUUAAUUAAAUUCCUCAGAGCGUGGCUGUCAGGGGCAACCACAAAAAUUCAGACGCGUCUUUCCAUUUUUCUGAUACGCAGACGCAGCCUCUUUUGGAGCAGAAAGUCUGGGGCGAAUUAAUGGGCAUGUGCUGAGAGAAACCUCGGAGCUGUUAAAUGAAAAAAGCCCCAGGAAGGCAGGGAAAAUGCAGGUUUGGGGGUUAUUGCUUUCGCUGUCACCAGUUAGUGCAGGAGUGGGGGUCGGCAGCUGGAAAUGAGUGACGCAGAAUCCAGCCCCGUACAGGCUGAGGGUGAAAAUGAGUUGGGGAAACACUCUGUUAAAUCCAAUCAGCUUACACACAAAGUCUAACCCAGAACCAUCUCACCAUAAGAGUUACGUGCAAAUUAGAUGAGAGCGAAGAGGGAACUUCAGACUCAAAGUCAAGAGAUGUUGCCAGGAAUGUCAUUGAAAUUGAAAAUGUUGUGGCUUUAGCAGGGAGAAAGGAAGUAGCUGGAAACACCGUGUGGAAAUAGUACAAUGCCAAAGGGAGAGAAAACUCCUUUCGCAUAGUAGGAAGCUGUUAUAACUAGAACUUCUGAGAUAAUUAAGGAUGAGGAAAUUUUGGUUUCAGUAUCUGGUUGUUGUGAUUUAAUAGGCUGCUGAAAAAGUACCCAUGGAAGAUAGAGGAAUCCCAUGGGAACACAGAGAAAUUGCGGUGCCGGUGCUUUCAUGUCCCAUCAGUUUCCCAGGUUUGGGGUCAGGUAUCGCAGGGCAGGGAAGGCAGCAGCUUUCCUUUUGGGUUGGAUUUGAGAUCCAGCUGUUGGUCCUUCGCAGACCCGCCAAGCCAGAGCUCCAUUCACUGCACCCCCAGAAACGCACGCGUUGCCUUUACCUGCCUUAAACCGUUCAACUAUUUUCCUAAUUGACUUACAACUGUUGUAAUGUGAGAAUUUUAACACCGUGAAUGAAGAUUACAUAUGAUUAGAUAAGCAGUUUAAAAGCUCCGAGGGCUGAAUUGUUGCAGUUAUUAAUUGUGCUCCCUUUUUACAAGGGCAGGUAGUGACAGGACAAGGGGCGAUGGCUUUAAACUGAAAGAGAGUAGAUUUAGAUUAAAUAUAAGGAAGGUGGAAGGUGUCCCUGCCUGGGGAUCAGUUAAACUGGCAAUUUAAACCAUUAAGUCUGAUUUUUUUAUUUCUUUAAGGCCAGUUUCUAGUCUAAACCCCCGUGUGCUGCAGGAGCAUGGCAGGCUGAUUAAACGCAGGGCUAAAGCUUCAAGUCCUUCCUUCGCCUGCAGGGAAGGGUGAGGGUUUAUGCUUUGGGCUGUUCCUCUGAGCACAGAUCACACUGAGCUGUGAAGGACUCGGGACUGUUUAGCCUUGUGUCCACAUUGUUUUAAAGUGGCAAACUCACAGCAAUGACUCGGGCAUUGCGCUUGCACUUUCAGCUGGCCGCAAUAAAUCUUCACACUGACCUGUCGGAAGUAUUAAACCACUACAGAGAAGUUUGUGCUUGUUCUUCACUGCAGAGACAAUAGGGUUUUAAUAAACAAUAUAUUUGAUUAGGUUCAACAGAAAAGCCAAGGAUAAGUAAGUAUUUGUAUCUGUCGGGGAUUCAGCAAGAAUCCUUGUAAUUCACCUUGACUGCACUAGCUCUGUGAUAUUUCUGGGUGUUGGUGGGGGUUUUUUUCUCCAUGUUUGUACUGCUGGAAACUUACCUGUGCAUAGACAAAGCCAUUGGGAUUUUCCCUAAUACACUGUAGAAAAAUACAGAAAUAUUAAUAUCCCACCCAAAGUUUGUGCUCUGUAAAAUGAAAGUGUUUUUUCUAAAAGUAAUGGUAGCCCAGCAUCUCGUUCUCAAUGCAAAGGCUGGAGCCUGGGUAGAGAGCAUGAUAGCACAGAUAAUCAAUGCUCAUUAUGAUAAAUGGAGUCUUGUUCCUCAAAGAAGCAGCAGCAACUCAUGGAAAAAUCGGCCAGGAAGAUGAGAGUGGAUGGGCUGGCUGAAGAGCGCUGAUACACAGACCUGCACGGGGAAACGCACGUGGCUUCGUUUUGAAGUUGCUGAAUAUUCCCAUGAUAUCUGUAAAAGGUUCUGAGACAGACUUUACGCUGCUUUAAACAUAUUAGUAUUUAUGUUCCAGCCACAGAGAAAAGGGCUGGAAUCCGUGGCCGGUACUUAAAAUGAAAGAAAUGCUCAAAAUGAAAGUGGACAAGGAAAACCGAGCGCUUUUGUUUCAGAAUAAUGACUGUCCCAAUGGGAUAAUUAAUUUCCCUUAGAGCAGCUUGCUAUUUUUCAAAGGUAUUACGCUUCUGCAGAUUUAACUAUGGAAA